UCUAACAACAACAGAAAAAAAAAAUUCUCUCUCUCUAAACCUCUCACCCUUUCUCUCUCUAAUCGGUGUCGCCGUCGCUGGUGGAGGACGACUGCCGCUCCACUACUCUCUCUCCUUUCUCAUCUUCCCUCUCCAACCAACAUAAACCGUCCACCCCUGUCGUCAUCCAUAAAGCAAUGGUCACUGCCUCUCCAGCAUCAUCAACCUGCCACCACCGAGCUGACAAUCGAUCGAUUGGCAUUUACCCCUGCUCUCUCCGUUAGUCGCCACCGCCAAUCGGUCGAUGAAACUGAUACCAUCUCCUCUCUAGUUCUCCCAUUCCCAGUCGUGACUCAACACCGACCACCAUGGUGGGUGAACCAGCCAGGCCACCGACGAUCCUCCUCUUCAGUCGCUGCUUUAGCUGGCGCCACCAACGAAGCCGGCGACCACGACCGUUCCAAACCAACAACAACAACAACCUCCGUUCCACCAGCCGCCAUUGAAGUUCGCCACCAUCUACUGAAAUAUCACCUUCAUGCAUGCUUCCACCAACCAACCAACCCCGACUAGCGGACCAACAAACAACAUCACAAUUCGGCUAUUCCGGCUAAAUUUGAUAGAAAAAGAGGUGUAGAUUUUAUAAUGGAUUUUAUAAUCUAUCUCAGACAGCUUUGGAUAUUUGAAGAGUCGCCGGAAUGUAUAUGGGGGAGGGUUGCAACUUUUCUUUCUUUGUUCAUUAAUUUAUUUUUGAUUCAUGGUGUUGUAAUAACUUUGUAUAAACUUGGUGUAAUAAUAAAUUUGAUACUGCUCAGGAGGUGGGAAUUUAUGUGCUCUUUGAA